GAUCAUGGCUCAGAUUGAACGCUGGCGGCGUGCUUAACACAUGCAAGUCGAACGUGAAAGUCCUUGGGCGAGUAAAGUGGCGCACGGGUGAGUAACGCGUGGAUAAUCUACCCUUAAGAUGGGGAUAACGGCUGGAAACGGUCGCUAAUACCGAAUACGCUCCCGAUUUUAUCAUUGGGGGGAAAGAUGGCCUCUGCUUGCAAGCUAUCGCUUAAGGAUGAGUCCGCGUCCCAUUAGCUAGUUGGG
rnacentral:rRNA from 1 species